AUAUCAAUAAGCGGAGGAAAAGAAACCAACAGGGAUUGCCUCAGUAACGGCGAGUGAAGCGGCAACAGCUCAAAUUUGAAAUCUGGCGCUAUAGGCCCGAGUUGUAAUUUGUAGAGGAUGCUUCUAGGUACGGCGACCGGUCUAAGUUCCUUGGAACAGGACGUCAUAGAGGGUGAGAAUCCCGUAUGUGAUCGGCCUGCACUUUGCCAUGUGAAGCUCCUUCGACGAGUCGAGUUGUUUGGGAAUGCAGCUCUAAAAUGGGAGGUAAAUUUCUUCUAAAGCUAAAUACCGGCCAGAGACCGAUAGCGCACAAGUAGAGUGAUCGAAAGAUGAAAAGCACUUUGGAAAGAGAGUCAAAAAGCAC
rnacentral:rRNA from 1 species